rnacentral:rRNA from 1 species
CCUACGGGGGGCAGCAGUCGAGAAUCAUUCACAAUGGGCGAAAGCCUGAUGGUGUGACGCCGCGUGGAGGAUGAAGGUCUUCGGAUUGUAAACUCCUGUCAUGUGAGAGUGAGUAUCACAAGAGGAAGAGACGGCUAACUCUGUGCCAGCAGCCGCGGUAAUACAGAGGUCUCAAGCGUUGUUCGGAAUCACUGGGCGUAAAGGGUGCGUAGGCCGCGCGGUAAGUCAGGUGUGAAAGCCCGGAGCUCAACUCCGGAACUGCACCCGAUACUGCCGCGCUUGAGGACUGGAGAGGAGUCUGGAAUUCACAGUGGAGCAGUGAAAUGCGUAGAUAUUGUGAGGAACACUAGUGGCGAAGGCGAGACUCUGGACAGUCCUGACGCUGAGGCACGAAGGCCAGGGGAGCAAACGGGAUUAGAUACCCUGGUAGUC